GUUUGAUCCUGGCUCAGAGCGAACGUUAGCGGCGGGCCUAACACAUGCAAGUCGAACGAGAAAGCCCUUCGGGGUGAUUAGAGUGGCGCACGGGUGAGUAACACGUAGGUAACCUACCCUCGAGCGGGGGAUAACGUUCCGAAAGGAACGCUAAUACCGCAUAAGACCACGCUGUCUGCGGACAGAGUGGGAAAAGAUGGCCUCUUCUUGAAAGCUAUCACUUGGGGAUGGGCCUGCGUCCCAUCAGCUUGUUGGUAAGGUAACGGCUUACCA
rnacentral:rRNA from 1 species